AGGUUGAUUCUACUUUUGAUGGCCUGUUUCUCUCUACCUGUAUGCUCAGGGAAAGACAGUCCUGCAUCACUUCGGAUUUGUGUUUUGUCAACAUAGAAACCCCCCAAAACAGUAGGCCUGGAAAUAGAUGUUUCUGUGGUCUUGGCAGCAGCUGCAUGGUCUGACUGUUCAACACUUGUUAUCCAUUAUUGAAGACUACUGUAUAAAGGAAAAGAAAUAAAAUGCUUCAUUCUGCAUCCCAGGAAAAGUUUCAAGCAAACCUGACCUAAGUUAUACACUAUGAAAAUUGAAAAUAGUCAAAAGUUUAGUGUUUUGAGCUGCUGGAAUUCCACUGAAACCUAAUCUUCAAGUUUGAAGCAAAGGGCUAAAGCAGAGCUGGUAUAUUUUGUUGUUACUAGGUCAGCACACAAGGAUGCCAUCAGUACUUUUGUAGCUGAAAACUGUGCUUCACAAGGUUACCAAAUUUGCACACGGAGCUGGUCAGAGAAACAGGAGAAUACUGUUGGGAAGCACUUCAAAUUCAGCAGUGAUAUAGUGGUGUUAUUUGCAAGGUUAAGAACUACUAUUAUUUAGCCAUUCUCUCUGCUUCCCUCAAUCCUCAGCAAAUUAGGUCCCAAGUAGAAUUUAGAUACUAAACCAGUUUAAAUUUUUAAAAUUUCAGAAAUCAUGAAAAUUGGGAACUGUUAGAUAUAUUUUUAUCAAAUGCAUGUGUUUAUACUGAAAAACCUGCCAAUUUUAUGUUUAUGUUCUUAGACAAAUACAUGUAAUGUGUUUGCAUUGAUAUCAUUGUAUACGGGCACUUUUGGGACCUGAUUUGUUAUCCUAGGAACAGGUAUAGCAGACAAACUUAGAAAAGUCUCGUCUAAAAGGAUAACUGUGAUGGCACCAUCAGUCACAGUGGUAAUCAUCAUGCUCUGCAGAAUUGCGACACAGUGGAAGGAGCAAUGAAUGUUACACAGAAACAUAAUCUUGCCAAAGCUGAAUCAUAUAAAAGGCAUAAAGCGAUCUAAAGAAGGAAUGAAUAGGGCUGUGCUUUCCAAAGACGUCUGUUCAACAUUUUUCUGACAUCAAUUGUAAUGACAAUAGGUGGCACCCUUAUGCCAAGAAAUACCAUCUUGUUUAGCUUAGCUAUGCUUCUCUGGAUAUUUUUCUACUGCCUUUUUUUCUAAUUUUUCUAAUUCCUUUAAUCAAAAUUAUUGGGAUUAAAAUCAAAAGCAAGUCAUCAAAAUAGAUUAUUCAGUGGGAAAAUAGGGGACAUGCCUAGAAAAUUAAAAUAUAAACUCCAUUCUGACUACGGAGUAGAGCACAUGACAAUUAUCACUACUGCUCUGUUGAGGAGGAAUUUGAGAAUUUAAAGUACGAGCGUGUACUGAGUGAUGCAUACAAACUGUGUUAGUGUAUACUUUAUAACUGAUUAAUUUGACUCCUUCGGGGGUACUUAAAAAUGCAAGAGAAACAAGAUGUGUCCUGUUUUAUUUUUCCUGUUACACAAACACUUAGUUGCAAGGGGAUAUCCAGAUGAUCUGAAACUUACACCUGUGCAAAAUCAGAAAAGGAAUCUCAUAAAAACGAACCUCUCUCAGUAGAGUUUUUGUCACUUUUACUUCCAAUGCGAGGCAAAACCUGAAAAAAAUGUUAACCAAACUUUGUCAAACCACAAGCAUUUUGGCUUGUGGUUUGGAUAAAGGUUCAGGUCGCUUCUCACUGUACCCUGAAAAGACCUUAUUCACUGCUCCUCUGCUGAGUUUGAAAGGAGAUAGGAAAAGGCAGAAGAGAGAAGAUUAAAAAUGCCUAAAUGCAUUGCAGAACCAUGGAACACCACAUAUUAAAAAGUGUGAAAAGACAUCGGUUUUUAUUGUAUAUUUAUGGAAUUGGGUAUAAGAAAAUAAGAGUUUUGCUAUGCAAAAAAAAAAAAAAAAAGGUUUGUUGUUUUUUUUUUCAUGAAAAUAGGGAUUAAAGAUCUGAUGUAAUACUGAGGACAUAAAUUGUCUCGGUCCUGCAGAUGGCCCAUAAAAUUUGCAAAGCCUUGACCAUUUAUAAGCUGGAAUUAGAUCAGAAAAAGCUUCAGGAUUCAUUGAACUUUGCUAGUCUUGGCAAUGUCUCUGUUAGGCUUUUACUGGCAUUCUGUUUCAUUCUGACAUUGCAAAAGUAUCAUCUUAUGGUGGUAAUGCAAAGUUGAAGGGGAAAAAGAAUUUAGAAAGAGUCAAUGGAGCUAAUGAGGUACCAUUUUAAUUUAUGAGGCAUAGUUAACACAGCUGUUCUCUUAUGUAAAAUUUUGCUGAAGUAGUUAUGAUGCUAUAGGCAAAAUUAAAAUUUCCAGUGUUCCAUGAAAUGUUGCUUAUUUAAACCUCUUCCUUUCCCUUUCAUCAUCUCAUACUGUUUUUGUAGUUUUUGCAAAGGA